GUAAAGGCAAAGGCACAGACACAGGCACAGGCACAGGCACAGGCACAGGCACAGGCACAGGCACAGGCACAGGCACAGGCACAGGCACAGGCACAGACACAGGCACAGACAAAGGCACAGGCACAGGCACAGGCACAGACAAAGGCACAGGCACAGGCAAAGGCACAGGCACAGGCACAGGCAAAGGCACAGGCACAGGCACAGGCAAAGGCAAAGGCACAGGCACAGGCACAGGCACAGGCACAGGCACAGGCACAGGCAAAGGCAAAGGCACAGGCAAAGGCACAGGCACAGGCACAGGCACAGGUACAGGUCAGGUAUUUAGUGACUUGAAGAGACACCUUGCAGUGGUCGGGAAUCAAACCCGGGUCGUGUGCUUGCAGGGUGAUGUAAUACAGUGAAUAGAACGAGGAGGAAAAGAAUCGGACAAUGGCAGCACAACUCUUCAAAUCUUUGUGAAUGCAAAACAAACAGAGAGAGAUUGAGUGAGAG
ensembl:lncRNA